UACGGGGAUGGCGAGCGUUACUCGGAUUUAUUGGGUGUAAAGGGCAGGUAGGUGUUCUAUCAAGUUAGAAGUGAAAUCCUAAGGCUUAACCUUAGAACUGCUUCUAAAACUGAUGGAAUUGAGGACAGAAGAGGAAAGCGGAAUUCCCGGUGUAAGGGUGAAAUCUGUAGAGAUCGGGAGGAACACCAGUGGCGAAGGCGGCUUUCUGGUCUGUCCCUGACGCUAAACUGCGAAAGCUAGGGGAGCAAACAGG
rnacentral:rRNA from 1 species